UCCGUAGGCGGUGUGGCAAGUCGGAAGUGAAAUCUCUGGGCUUAACUCAGAGGCUGCUUCCGAAACUGCCGUGCUAGAGUGCGAGAGAGGCAAGUGGAAUUGCGGGUGUAGCGGUGAAAUGCGUAGAUAUCCGCAGGAACAUCCGAGGCGAAAGCGGCUUGCUGGAUCGCAACUGACGCUGAGGGACGAAAGCUAGGGGAGCAAACAGGAUUAGAUACCCUGGUAGUCCUAGCCCUAAACCAUCAGGACUUGGGGUUUGCCCUGUACGGGGCAAGUCCCGUAGCUAACGCGUUAAGUCCUGCGCCUGGGGAGUACGGUCGCAAGACUGAA
rnacentral:rRNA from 1 species